rnacentral:lncRNA from 1 species
AUGCCUGCAAUCCCAGCACUGUGGGAGGCCGAGGCAGGAGGAUCACUAGAGAAAGAAGAAAAAGAAAGAAGAGAGAAGCCGUGUAUUCCUGCACUCAGCUCCAGCUUGGCUCCCCCGGGCCCUUCUACAUUUGCUGAACCUCUGGACUUUCCAAGCCUUAGACCCUCAGGUCCCUUUCUUGCUCCUGCUUUUCUGUCAAUUCUGUGUCUGGCAUUGCCUGGUGUUAGGCAAAGAUUUUCUCUGGUACCCAGCUCCACAGGACCCAGCACUCCUGGGCACCAGCCGGUCAGGAUACAGACCCUGAGGGCAGGAACUCCUAGGAAAUCCCCCAGAUCAAUUUCUUGAUAAUUCAGGUGAGCCUAAGUUUGGAUUGGGAGCUCAGUGACAGCCACCUCCAACAUGGCCAUCCAUAGUCCCACCUCCUAGUAUCCAUGCUUUGUGUGGUCCCCUCCUACGUAGGAUCAGGGUUGGUCCACGUGACCAAUGCAGUAAGGUCAGGUGAUGGUUUAGCUGCAAAAGACUUUGUGGCUUCUGCUCUUGUCUCUCUCAAAUCGCUUGCGCUGGGGAAGGUGACUGCCAUGUUAUGAGGACACUCAGGCAGCCCCAUGGAGAGAUCUACGUAGCAAGGAGCUGAGGCCUCCUUCCACGAGCCACGUGGGUGAACCAUCUUGGAGCAAACCCAGAAUGACAGUAGCAGGCUUAGUGUCAGACAGGACUCAUCCAUCCAGCCCCAUAAGCUCAGAGCUGAGGAAGUAGAGGCCCAGAGAGGUUGAAUCAUCCGUCACCACCACACAUCUGGUCAAUGUCCAAGCCACAUCUUGGCUCCCAGUCCCAUUUUAGAUAAACUGACUGAUCUUCAGCUCAGAGUGGCUUCUUGGGCUGGGCGAGGUGGCUCACAUCUGUCAUCCCAGCACCCUGGGAAGCCUAGGCAGUUGGAUCACUUGAGGUCAGAAGUUUGAGACCAGUCUGGCCAACAUGGUUUUAAUAGAAACCCUGCAUCUACUAAAAAUAGAAAAAUUAACCAGGCUUGGUGGUGCAUGCCUGUGAUCCCAGGUGCUCUGGAGGCAGAGGCAUGAGAAGUGCUUGAACCCGGGAAGCAGAGGUUGCAGUGAGCCAAGAUUGCACCACUGCACUCCAGCCUGGGCAACAGAGUGAGAAUCCAUUUCAAAAAACAAAAAAAAGAUGGGGGUUGCUUCUUGGAUUUCACCAUUCAUGUUUCCUGUGCUCUGGCUUCUCCAUCCUGUGGCGCCUGGUCAUCAGGGGAGUCUAGGACAUCCUAUUGCAGUAGGCAGGAAGCUGGAGUGGGCAGGGCAGGUUGACGGGCAUUCUGGGUUGAAGAGAUGAUGGGGCUAAAGGCACAGCGGUGUGAACAUGGGUGGCACUUCUGGAGAGAGUGAGUUCUCUUCUCCAAAGAAAGGCAGGGGCUGUACAGAAGAGCGCCUUCAAUAUGGCAUAAAGUGACACUUCCUGGAGCCUAUGAGACAGCCAAAGGCAGGUGUCAGAGUUCCUGCCUCGAGUUCAAAACAGGACAGUGUCUAUCCUUGAAGGUGGAGGACACCGAACAACAAACGCCAAUGGGAGGAUGUGUGAUGAGCUGGAGUGUUGUCCAAGGCAAGGUGCCAUUGAAGCAGGCAGGGUUUGGUCAGUCUCAUACAUGCUAGAUCAGGGGAGAUGUUUCCAGAAUAAUGUGAAGCUGGAGGGUGCAGAAGAGAUCCUUGCAAUAGCAGAUCCAGGGCUCCAGGACUAGCCCUGAUGACCAAGAAUGCCGACCUUUUUGGCAAACUUUCUCAGCAGGCUCUCAGCAACCUCUGCACCUGAGCUUCCCCAAACCGAGGCCAAAGCAGCAGAGGCAGAUGGAAAAGCAUUGAUCCCUUGGGUGCUGUUUCACCUUGUUUUCAUUCACUGCAGUAAUUUUCUUCCCAGGAAAGCAGAGAAUUUCCCAGAGUAAGGAUUCUGGCCCUUCUCUAUGUCCUGCGUAUAGGUAUCAUUUUUCUUUUCUCUUUCUUUUUUUUUUUUUUUUUUUUUUUGAGAUGGAGUCUCACACUGUUGCCCAGGCUGGAGUGCAGUGGUGGGAUCUGGGCUCACUGCAACCUCUGUCCCCCAGAUUCAAGUGAUUCUCCUGCCUCAGCCUCCUGAGUAGAUGGUAUUAUAGGCCUGUGCCACCACACCCAGCUAAUUUUUUCAUUUUUGUUAUUGUUUUGUAUUUUUAGUGGAGACAGGGUUUCACUGUGUUAGCCAAGAUGGUCUUGAUCUCUUGACCCUGUGAUCCACCUGCCUCAGCCUCCAAAACUGCUGGGAUUAUAUGUGUAAGCCACUGCAGUCAGCCUAGGUAUCACUUUUCAAGGCCAAUUUACAGACGUAUGUUUCUUGCCAAUAAGUUCACAGAUGUAAUGACAGCAAGUACAGAAAGCCUGGGGUUCUUAAAGAGAAGGGUAAAGCUGAGUCGGAAGACAGUGAGUUUUCUAGUCCCGAUCUCCACCUUCUUGCAAAACCUAGGGUAACCCCAAGGGGUGAGAAAGGUUGACAUUUUUCAGACUUACGCAGGCAAAUAACUUCCUUAAUUUUUCUGAUUGAAUUUAAUGCAGCUCCCAACCCCUUAUUUACAUUCAGUCACUAUCAAAAUUUUCUCAGUGUCCUUUUAG